AGGGCGUAUGGGGAAUGCCUAGGCACACUCCGGCGAAGAAGGACGCAGCAAACAGCGAAAUGCGACGGUGAGCGGUAAGCACGUGAAGAGCCGUCGAUAUCCGAAUGGGGGAACCCACACGGAGUCAUAUCCGUGUAUCACAUGUCGAAUACAUAGACAUGAUGAGGCGAGACGCAGGGAACUGAAACAUCUAAGUACCUGCAGGAAGAGAAAAUAAGAAUGAUUUUCUGAGUAGCGGCGAGCGAAAGGGAAAGAGCCCAAACCGAUUUGAGGAUCGGGGUAGUAGGAUCAUCGAUAAAUCAAACAGAGGAUCAUAGAGGAAUCACAUGGGAAGGUGAGCGAGAGAGGGUGAGAGCCCCGUACUCGAAAUGAGAGACUGGAGAGAGAUGACACCUGAGUAGGGCGGGACACGAGAAAUCCUGUCUGAAUCAGCCGGGACCAUCCGGCAAGGCUAAAUACGAGAGAGUGACCGAUAGUGAACCAGUACCGUGAGGGAAAGGUGAAAAGAACCCCGGGAGGGGAGUGAAAGAGAACCUGAAACCAUAUGCCUACAAGAAGUCAGAGCCCGUUAAAGGGUGAUGGCGUGCCUUUUGUAGAAUGAACCGGCGAGUUACUGUAUGGAGCGAGGUUAAGCAGGAUAUGCGGAGCCGAAGCGAAAGCGAGUCUUAAGAGGGCGCGAGUUGCAUGCAGUAGACCCGAAACCGGGUGAUCUAGCCAUGACCAGGUUGAAGUUGGGGUAAAACCCGAUGGAGGACCGAACCGACCCCCGUUGAAACGUUGGCGGAUGAGUUGUGGCUAGGGGUGAAAUUCCAAUCGAACCCGGAGAUAGCUGGUUCUCCCCGAAAUAGCUUUAGGGCUAGCGUCGAGAGAAGAGUUGCGUGAAGGUAGAGCACUGAAUAUGUGAUGGCCCCAUCUCGGGGUACUGAGCAUAAUCAAACUGCGAAUGUCACGCCAACAUGCUCGGCAGUCAGACAGCGGGUGAUAAGGUCCGUUGUCAAGAGGGAAACAGCCCAGACCAUCAGCUAAGGUCCCAAAAUGUAUGCUAAGUGGAAAAGGAUGUGGAGAUGUACAGACAACUAGGAGGUUGGCUCAGAAGCAGCCAUCCUUUAAAGAGUGCGUAACAGCUCACUAGUCGAAUGACUCUGCGCCGAUAAUUUACCGGGGCUAAGCAUACUACCGAAGCUAUGGAUCCCAAGGGAUGGUAGGGGAGCGUUCCAUGAACGGAGAAGUACGACCGAAAGGACGUGUGGAGAUCAUGGAAGAGAGAAUGCCGGUGUGAGUAGCGGAACGUGGGUGAGAAUCCCACGCACCGAAAACCCAAGGUUUCCAGAGGAAGGUUCGUCCGCUCUGGGUAAGUCGGGACCUAAGGCGAGGCCGAAAGGCGUAGUCGAUGGACAACAGGUAGAGAUUCCUGUACCCGUAUAUAUGUGAAGGAAUGACGGAGAGAGGAAGCUGCAGCCAGCGGCUGGAAGAGCUGGUGCAAGCGAGAUAUCGGGAUGGCAGGCAAAUCCACCAUCCGAAACGAGAAGGCGUGAAGCGUACGGAAAGCUACGGCGAGUACGGAAGGCAGUGGAGGAACUUCCAAGAAAAGUUUCUAACGUUAAGUAUAUAUGGCCCGUACCGAAAAUGGACACACAUGGGUGAGGAGAGAAUCCUAAGGUGAGCGAGAGAACUAUAGCUAAGGAACUCUGCAAAAUGACUCCGUAACUUAGGGAGAAGGAGUGCUCAUAGAGAUAUGAGCCGCAGUGAAACGGCCCAAGCGACUGUUUACCAAAAACACAGCUCUCUGCUAAGCCGCAAGGCGAAGUAUAGGGGGUGACGCCUGCCCGGUGCUGGAAGGUUAAGGGGAGGGGGUAACGCAAGUGAAGCCCUGAACUGAAGCCCCAGUAAACGGCGGCCGUAACUAUAACGGUCCUAAGGUAGCGAAAUUCCUUGUCAGGUAAGUUCUGACCCGCACGAAAGGCGUAACGAUUUGGGCGCUGUCUCAGCUGUAGACUCGGUGAAGUCUUAGUACCUGUGAAGAUGCAGGUUACCCGCGACUAGACGGAAAGACCCCAUGGAGCUUCACUGCAGGUUGAUAUUGGGAUUUGAUGCAGCAUGUACAGGAUAGGUAGGAGGCAAAGAGAUGGAUACGCCAGUAUUCAAGGAGCCGCUGUUGGGAUACUACCCCUGUUGUAUUGGAUUUCUAACCGGACGACGUAGAGCCGUUGACGGGACAGUGUCAGUCGGGCAGUUUGACUGGGGCGGUCGCCUCCCAAAGAGUAACGGAGGCGCCCAAAGAUACCCUCAGCUUGGAUGGAAACCAAGCGCAGAGUGCAAAGGCAAAAGGGUGUUUGACUGCGAGACCCACAAGUCGAGCAGGGACGAAAGUCGGGCUUAGUGAUCCGGCGGUGCUGAAUGGAAAGGCCGUCGCUCAACGGAUAAAAGCUACCCUG
rnacentral:rRNA from 1 species